rnacentral:rRNA from 1 species
AUUGAACGCUGGCGGCAGGUCUAACACAUGCAAGUCGAGCGGAUGAAGGGAGCUUGCUCCUGGAUUCAGCGGCGGACGGGUGAGUAAUGCCUAGGAAUCUGCCUGGUAGUGGGGGAUAACGUCCGGAAACGGGCGCUAAUACCGCAUACGUCCUGAGGGAGAAAGUGGGGGAUCUUCGGACCUCACGCUAUCAGAUGAGCCUAGGUCGGAUUAGCUAGUUGGUGGGGUAAAGGCCUACCAAGGCGACGAUCCGUAACUGGUCUGAGAGGAUGAUCAGUCACACUGGAACUGAGACACGGUCCAGACUCCUACGGGAGGCAGCAGUGGGGAAUAUUGGACAAUGGGCGAAAGACUGAUCCAGCCAUGCCGCGUGUGUGAAGAAGGUCUUCGGAUUGUAAAGCACUUUAAGUUGGGAGGAAGGGCAGUAAGUUAAUACCUUGCUGUUUUGACGUUACCAACAGAAUAAGCACCGGCUAACUUCGUG